rfam:Bursaphelenchus xylophilus, Ka4C1 (inbred line), WGS project CADV01000000 data, contig: scaffold00298.3
CAAACGGCCCUCUUUAGGGCCACAAAGACUUGAAUUUUUGUUUGUU